rnacentral:rRNA from 1 species
UACGUAGGGUGCAAGCGUUGUCCGGAAUUAUUGGGCGUAAAGAGCUCGUAGGCGGUUUGUCGCGUCUGCUGUGAAAACCCGAGGCUCAACCUCGGGCCUGCAGUGGGUACGGGCAGACUAGAGUGUGGUAGGGGAGACUGGAAUUCCUGGUGUAGCGGUGAAAUGCGCAGAUAUCAGGAGGAACACCGAUGGCGAAGGCAGGUCUCUGGGC